CCUACGGGGGGCUGCAGUGGGGAAUCUUGGGCAAUGGAGGAAACUCUGACCCAGCAACGCCGCGUGAAUGAUGAAGGUCUUCGGAUUGUAACGUUCUUUUCUACGGGACGAAGAAAGUGACGGUACCUUAGGAAUAAGCCUCGGCUAACUACGUGCCAGCAGCCGCGGUAAUACGUAGGAGGCGAGCGUUAUCCGGAAUGACUGGGCGUAAAGGGUGCGUAGGUGGUUUGACAAGUUAGUAGCGAAACUGCAAGGCUCAACCUUGGAACUACUACUAAAACUGUGGGACUUGAGUGCCGGAGGGGCAACCGGAAGUACUAGUGGAGCGGUGGAAUGCGUAGAUAUUAGGAGGAACACCAGUGGAGAAGGCGGGUUGCUAGACUGUAACUGACACUGAGGCACGAAAGCGUGGGGAGCAAACAGGAUUAGAUACCCCUGUAGUC
rnacentral:rRNA from 1 species